rnacentral:lncRNA from 13 species
CUGCCGUUGCCGGGGGCCCCCACGCGAAAGUCUGGGGGGCGGGAGGGGCGGGCCGGGACAGGGCAGGGGACGGCGGAGGCUGGUAUCAACUUUCUUGGCUCUUCUCGUCUUUUUCGGCUCCUUUGUUCCCCUCGCCAGUCGCCCCCUCCUCUGCGCCGCCCCCCCCCGGUCCUGCCGGCCCGCCGCCCGCAGCUCCCCAGUGCCUUUGUCUCCGCGGAGUCGGAGGGAGCAGCCGGAGGGGACGCGGCCGAUGCCCCGGGCGGGGAGGGACGCGGUACCUGGGGAGGGGCGGUGCGAGGGCACGCGGUGCCUCCGCCGGCGUGCAGGGAGGGCCCAGGCCCUUGGCACUUGGUGGCCGCACUUUGUGUUACCGUGGUAGUUUCGACCACUGCGUGGCAUUAGCACGGCUGGGUGGCACAAACCGCCCCCGGGCACUGGCGGCACCGGGUGACGUGCAGCAUCCCAGCUGGAGAUAGGCGCUGUCGCCUGACUGUGGCCAGGUAAAUGAACCUCACCUCCCACGCAGGCAGGCAUUGCCUCUGUGGAAAGCAUCGCAGUCAGGAAUGGGAGAGGCCAAGGCAGAGCCGCACUUAAAUGUUAGUUGUUUGGUGGGAAUAUUAACCUGGAACAAAACAAACCUCCAGAAGAACUGGCUGUCAGGUUUCCAUCAUGUGAACAGAAACCUUGAACAGGGGAGCCAUUUGAGACUGCAUUUUUCCUCCUUCUGUUGCUUUGGAUUCGGAACUCUCAGAAAAGAAUUCUCUCCCGGACUACAAGAACCUUGGAAGUACUUUUGGGCAUUAAGUUACUUCAGGAACUCCUAUCUAAACCAUCAGCUUCUUACUGGCUUACAAAAAGUCCUCACAGGUGAAAUCCACACUCACAUCUGCCCUCUGAUGUGUUACUUUGCUGGCUUUGAGGGCUCUGGUGAGGAAUUUUGGGAAUAAGGGCAUCCUGUGAUGAAUUGUCCCAUACACUGUGUAAAAUAAUACCAGGUAGGUGAGAAUAAUAGGCUAUAAAGCUUUCGUUAGCAAAGCAAACUUCUUUUCUCUGAGGUGCUUCAGUGCCUUGUGUGGGUGGCUCAUUGUUUUCCCCUCUGUGGGAUUUUGGAAAUGUAGCCACUUGAAAUGUGGAGCACUGUCAUGCACCAAAACAACUGUGCUAUAU